rnacentral:rRNA from 1 species
UAGUCUCGCACAGAUGCAUAUCAAUAAGCGGAGGAAAAGAAACUAACAAGGAUUCCCCUAGUAACGGCGAGUGAAGCAGGAAGAGCUCAAAUUUGAAAUCUUAAAGGGUUUCCCUUUACGAAUUGUAGUUUAAAGAAGUGUUUUCUGUUGAGGUUUUGGUAAAAGUUCUUUGGAAUAGGACAUCAUAGAGGGUGAGAAUCCCGUAUUUGACCUUUACUUUCAACUUUGUGAUACACUUUCAAAGAGUCGGAUUGUUUGGGAAUGCAGUCCAAAAUGGGUGGUAAAUUUCAUCUAAAGCUAAAUAUUGGCGAGAGACCGAUAGCGAACAAGUACCCGUGAGGGAAAGAUGAAAAGAACUUUGAAAAGAGAGUUAAACAGUACGUGAAAUUGUCAAAAGGGAAGCGUUUGACACCAGUGUUGUUUUUCUGAAAAUCAAUUAAAGAACUGUUUAUGCUAAGUUGUUUAGACUUUAUCAGCUAACUGUUUAGUUUUGAGCUUUUCUUUAAUGCACUUUUCAGUUAACAAGUCAACAUCAAUUUCUUUUGCUGUAAAAAAGCUUGAGGAAGGUGGCUUGAGAUUCGUCUUAAGUGUUUAUAGCCUCUUGCCUAUGCAGUCGGAGAGAUUGAGGUCUGCAGCGUAGAUCCUUCGGGGCUAAAUGCAUUUGUGCUAAGUUAUAGCAUUUUAUAGACAACUUGUUGACUAUGAUUUGUCUUGUAGCUUACUCGCUUAUGUUAUUUUACCUACGCUUAGGAUGUUGAACUCUAUCACACACAG